CAUGGCCGGGUGAGUAAUGUAUAGGAAUCUACCUAGUAGUACGGAAUAAUUGUUGGAAACGACAACUAAUACCGUAUACGCCCUACGGGGGAAAAAUUUAUUGCUAUUAGAUGAGCCUAUAUUAGAUUAGCUAGUUGGUGGGGUAAUAGCCUACCAAGGUAAUGAUCUAUAGCUGAUCUGAGAGGAUGAUCAGCCACACUGGAACUGAGAUACGGUCCAGACUCCUACGGGAGGCAGCAGUGGGGAAUAUUGGACAAUGGGCGAAAGCCUGAUCCAGCCAUGCCGCAUGAGUGAAGAAGGCCUUUGGGUUGUAAAGCUCUUUUAGUGAGGAAGAUAAUGACGGUACUCACAGAAGAAGUCCUGGCUAACUCCGUGCCAGCAGCCGCGGUAAUACGGAGAGGGCUAGCGUUAUUCGGAAUUAUUGGGCGUAAAGGGCGCGUAGGCUGGUUAAUAAGUUAAAAGUGAAAUCCCGAGGCUUAACCUUGGAAUUGCUUUUAAAACUAUUAAUCUAGAGAUUGAAAGAGGAUAGGGGAAUUCCUGAUGUAGAGGUAAAAUUCGUAAAUAUUAGGAGGAACACCAGUGGCGAAGGCGUCUAUCUGGUUCAAAUCUGACGCUGAAGCGCGAAGGCGUGGGGAGCAAACAGGAUUAGAUACCCUGGUAGUCCACGCUGUAAACGAUGAAUGUUAAAUAUGGGGAGUUUACUUUCUGUAUUACAGCUAACGCGUUAAACAUUCCGCCUGGGGACUACGGUCGCAAGAUUAAAACUCAAAGGAAUUGACGGGGACCCGCACAAGCGGUGGAGCAUGUGGUUUAAUUCGAUGCAACGCGAAAAACCUUACCACUUCUUAGACAUGAAAUAAAACCCUUUUCA
rnacentral:rRNA from 1 species